rnacentral:rRNA from 1 species
CCUACGGGUGGCAGCAGUAGGGAAUCUUUCACAAUGGGCGAAAGCCUGAUGGAGCAAUGCCGCGUGAAUGAUGAAGGUCUUAUAGAUUGUAAAAUUCUUUUAUUUGGGAAGAAAAACUAAAGUAGGAAAUGACUUUAGUCUGACUGUACCAUUUGAAUAAGCAUCGGCUAACUCCGUGCCAGCAGCCGCGGUAAUACGGGGGAUGCAAGCGUUAUCCGGAUUUAUUGGGUUUAAAGGGUGCGUAGGCUGUGAGGUAAGUCAGCGGUGAAAUGCCCCCGCUCAACGGGGUGAAGUGCCAUUGAUACUGCCUUGCUGGAAUGCGGAUGCCGUGGGAGGAAUGUGUGGUGUAGCGGUGAAAUGCAUAGAUAUCACACAGAACACCGAUUGCGAAGGCAUCUCACGAAUCCGCGAUUGACGCUGAUGCACGAAAGCGUGGGUAUCAAACAGGAUUAGAUACCCCAGUAGUC